rnacentral:rRNA from 1 species
AGAGCUUGAUCCUGGCUCAGGAUGAACGCUAGCGACAGGCUUAACACAUGCAAGUCGAGGGGCAGCACAGGUAGCAAUACCGGGUGGCGACCGGCGCACGGGUGAGUAACGCGUAUGCAACUUGCCUAUCAGAGGGGGAUAACCCGGCGAAAGUCGGACUAAUACCGCAUGAAGCAGGGAUCCCGCAUGGGAAUAUUUGCUAAAGAUUCAUCGCUGAUAGAUAGGCAUGCGUUCCAUUAGGCAGUUGGCGGGGUAACGGCCCACCAAACCGACGAUGGAUAGGGGUUCUGAGAGGAAGGUCCCCCACAUUGGUACUGAGACACGGACCAAACUCCUACGGGAGGCAGCAGUGAGGAAUAUUGGUCAAUGGCCGAGAGGCUGAACCAGCCAAGUCGCGUGAGGGAUGAAGGUUCUAUGGAUCGUAAACCUCUUUUAUAAGGGAAUAAAGUGCGGGACGUGUCCCGUUUUGUAUGUACCUUAUGAAUAAGGAUCGGCUAACUCCGUGCCAGCAGCCGCGGUAAUACGGAGGAUCCGAGCGUUAUCCGGAUUUAUUGGGUUUAAAGGGUGCGUAGGCGGCCUUUUAAGUCAGCGGUGAAAGUCUGUGGCUCAACCAUAGAAUUGCCGUUGAAACUGGGGGGCUUGAGUAUGUUUGAGGCAGGCGGAAUGCGUGGUGUAGCGGUGAAAUGCAUAGAUAUCACGCAGAACCCCGAUUGCGAAGGCAGCCUGCCAAGCCAUUACUGACGCUGAUGCACGAAAGCGUGGGGAUCAAACAGGAUUAGAUACCCUGGUAGUCCACGCAGUAAACGAUGAUCACUAGCUGUUUGCGAUACACUGUAAGCGGCACAGCGGAAGCGUUAAGUGAUCCACCUGGGGAGUACGCCGGCAACGGUGAAACUCAAAGGAAUUGACGGGGGCCCGCACAAGCGGAGGAACAUGUGGUUUAAUUCGAUGAUACGCGAGGAACCUUACCCGGGUUUGAACGCAUUCGGACCGAGGUGGAAACACCUUUUCUAGCAAUAGCCGUUUGCGAGGUGCUGCAUGGUUGUCGUCAGCUCGUGCCGUGAGGUGUCGGCUUAAGUGCCAUAACGAGCGCAACCCUUGCCACUAGUUACUAACAGGUAAAGCUGAGGACUCUGGUGGGACUGCCAGCGUAAGCUGCGAGGAAGGCGGGGAUGACGUCAAAUCAGCACGGCCCUUACAUCCGGGGCGACACACGUGUUACAAUGGCGUGGACAAAGGGAAGCCACCUGGCGACAGGGAGCGAAUCCCCAAACCACGUCUCAGUUCGGAUCGGAGUCUGCAACCCGACUCCGUGAAGCUGGAUUCGCUAGUAAUCGCGCAUCAGCCAUGGCGCGGUGAAUACGUUCCCGGGCCUUGUACACACCGCCCGUCAAUCCAUGGGAGCCGGGGGUACCUGAAGUCCGUAACCGCGAGGAUCGGCCUAGGGUAAAACUGGUGACUGGGGCUAAGUCGGAACAAGGUA